ACUCCUGUAGCUCAAUGGUAGAGCAUUUGCCUUACAAGCAAGGGGUUGUGAGUUCAAAUCUCGCCGGGAGUA
rnacentral:tRNA from 1 species